UACGUAGGGUGCGAGCGUUGUCCGGAAUUACUGGGCGUAAAGAGUUCGUAGGCGGUUUGUCGCGUCGUUCGUGAAAACUUGGGGCUUAACUCCAAGCGUGCGGGCGAUACGGGCAGACUGGAGUACUGCAGGGGAGACUGGAAUUCCUGGUGUAGCGGUGGAAUGCGCAGAUAUCAGGAGGAACACCGGUGGCGAAGGCGGGUCUCUGGGCAGUAACUGACGCUGAGGAGCGAAAGCGUGGGGAGCGAACAGG
rnacentral:rRNA from 1 species